rnacentral:rRNA from 1 species
AACGAACGCCGGCGGCAUGCCUAACACAUGCAAGUCGAACGAAGGCUUCGGCCUUAGUGGCGCACGGGUGCGUAACGCGUGGGAAUCUGCCCUUAGGUACGGAAUAACUCAGGGAAACUUGAGCUAAUACUGUAUAAUGACUUCGGUCCAAAGAUUUAUCGCCUGAGGAUGAGCCCGCGUCGGAUUAGCUAGUUGGUGAGGUAAAAGCUCACCAAGGCGACGAUCCGUAGCUGGUCUGAGAGGAUGAUCAGCCACACUGGGACUGAGACACGGCCCAGACGCCUGCGGGAGGCAGCAGUGGGGAAUAUUGGACAAUGGGCGAAAGCCUGAUCCAGCAAUGCCGCGUGAGUGAUGAAGGCCUUAGGGUUGUAAAGCUCUUUUACCCGGGAUGAUAAUGACAGUACCGGGAGAAUAAGCCCCGGCUAACUCCGUGCCAGCCGCCGCCGUAA